UACGAAGGGUGCAAGCGUUACUCGGAAUUACUGGGCGUAAAGCGUGCGUAGGUGGUUCGUUAAGUCCGAUGUGAAAGCCCUGGGCUCAACCUGGGAAUGGCAUGGGAUACUGGCGGGCUAGAGUGCGGUAGAGGGUGGCGGAAUUCCCGGUGUAGCAGUGAAAUGCGUAGAUAUCGGGAGGAACAUCUGUGGCGAAGGCGGCCACCUGGACCAGCACUGACACUGAGGCACGAAAGCGUGGGAAGCAAACAGG
rnacentral:rRNA from 1 species